UGUUUUGUUUUUUUACAGUUGGAUCCUCCAGAUUGCAGAUUAUUGCAUUUAAAAUCAGCCUCUGUGUCGUUCCUCAACCCUGAAGUCUGGACCGCUUCAUCAGCUCAGCAAGGGAGAUACCUCCAUAUUCUGAAGGACAUUGUGGAGAAGAUGUCAGCUGGAGUACUCAGGCCUCAGCCCGAGGAGGCGGUCCCUCUCUAUGAAGCGACGGUUGCCAUGGAGACCGUGCAGCGUCACCAAAAGAAAAAAGCCGUUGUUCAACUCUGACCAAAAAUAAUCACAUUCUGCUGCGACGUGAGACAAACACGGCCCACGGUUCAACAGGAUCAGGGCUUAAACUGUUUAAUGCAGCCAGUGAACAUGUACAAACAGUUGUUGUUUUCACUCGUUAAAUUGUUUAUCACAACAUGCGUCAUGUGGGAGACGGGGAGAUAGACCUGAUGCAUUUCCAUUAAUUGGGCUAAUACUGAGAAACAGACACAUUAACACCUAUAAUCAGCG